GCCGCGCGAGUUGCAGGAAGUGCUGGGGGAUUCGAUCAAAACACUGACGGGACUUGAACAGUAUCACGGAAUUAUUAUUGAUUUGAUAAUAAGAUCAAGUGAACUAAGAAAGAAAGAAAGAAAAGAAAAGAAGGAAAAAACACACACGUUGCUAAAACUCGGGUUACUACGCUGCAUAUAUAAAAAAAAGAAAAGGUUUGAAAAAAAUACCUAUUCAUACAUGAACCACAGUACAUACACCAAUCAGCUUGAUCGAAUAGACGAAGCACACCCAAGGAUCAAUGCUAAGAAAAAGCUACUGUUGUUCAGAGACAGCAUAAUGAGGAAAGACGAGUGCCCGUUAGACCCGCCGUGUUGGGUCGAUCCUGAGAAGACCACAUCAGGCCUUACAGGCUCAAGGAGGCGUGCGUGACGUGGGCGCGGAGGACCGAGAGAGGUGGCGAGCGUGGGCGUGGGCGGACGAGUGGGCGUGAGCAGGAGAAAACCCGGUGCCUGGCGUGGGGUCGCGAGAGGGAGGUAUGGCACAAAGCAUGAACAGAUACGUGACACUCAACGAGCUUGGCACCGGCACCUAUGGCUCUGUGGUGCUGGGCCAGAGAAUAGACACCGGAGAGAAAGUGGCCAUUAAAAGGAUGAAGAGAAAAUUCUACUCCUGGGAUGAGGCGAUGAACCUUCGAGAAGUUAAAGUAAGUUCCGAAAGAUAUUUUUUCUUUUUUUUUAGCAUUCAUAAUUUUUCAAUAUUUUUUUUUUUUAUCUUGCCUCUCGGGAUUUCUCUAGAGCCACCGCGAAAAAAAAGAAAGUGAGAGAGAAA